AUGGCAGGUGAAAACUUUAAAAGGCUGGAUACUAAGAAGAGACUGGAAGCCAAGAAAGCUGAUACUAGUGGCAAAGUGAAAAAGGGUAAGUCAAGGCGAAAAAGUCCAAGAAGAGGAAACUCCAGUGCAGCCGAAAUCCUGUCCUGAUCAGAGGAACUGGCAGAUAUUCCCUGUCUACUGUGUAUUCCAGAAAGGCCAGAUACAAGAGGAGGUACUCGCCACUAAAUUCAAGAUUGAAAAGGAAAAGGAAAAGGUUCAUGCAACUGUUACAAAACCGGUUGGUGGUGACAAGGAUGGUGGUACCCAGGUGGUUAAACUCUGCAAAAUGCAUAGAUAUUAUCCUACCGAAGAUGUGCCUCGAAAGCUGUUGAGCCACAGCAAAAAGCCCUCAGUCAGCACAGAGGAAACUGCGAGGCAACAUCACUCUUGGGACCGUUCUGAUCAUCCUCCCUGGGCACCACACAGGCAAGAGGGUGGCUUUCCUGAAGCAGCUGGGCAGUGGCUUGUUACUUGUGACUGGAUCUCUAGUUCUCAAUCAAGUUCCUCUGUGAGGAGCACACCAGAAAUUUGUCAUCACCACCUCCACAAAAAUUGAUAUCAGCAAUGUGAGAAUCCCAAAACAUCUCACUGAUACCAACCUCAAGAAGCAGCAGCUGCGGAAGCCCAGACACGGGAAGGUGAGAUCUCCAACACAGAAAAAGAGAAAUACGAGAUUACAGAACGGUGCAAGUUUGAUUAGAAAGAUGUGGACUUGCACAUUUUACUAAAAUAAUCAAAGCUGAUCCAUGUUUGCCCUGACGAAUAGAGUUUAUCCCCACAAAUUGGUGCUCUAA
rnacentral:lncRNA from 1 species